rnacentral:rRNA from 1 species
UUUUUAAAAAACAUGGCCCUUUGCCCGACUCAUAUUGGGUCGUACCUGCACAAUGGCCCCCAUAAGGGGCUAAAUUGCCGCGGUACCCUGACCGUGCGAAGGUAGCGAAAUAAUUUGCCUAUUAAUUGUUGGCCAGAAAUGAAUGGUGUGACGCUGGUGGCGCUGUCUCGUUAGUAUUGAUUUGAAUUUGACCUCUGGGUGAAAAGGCCCAGAUAGACCUGAAAGACGAUAAGACCCUGUCGAACUUUAAGUAGAUCCGUUUUAGGGAAAACGGUUAAGCUUUUGGUUGGGAAAACCGGAGGUAAGAAAAAACACCUCCUCCCUUUGAGACACCCGUUAUUUAUGGGGUAAUAGAGAGUUUACCUUAAGGGCAAUUGGCCUAAUGGAAAGUAAGGUGAUGGUGGAAUAAGAGUCCGACAGGACAUAGUUAACUAAUAAAACGAACCUAAAGACCCGUCUUAUGGUCGGGAAGCUAUUAACAAGGAAUAGUUACCGCAGGGAUAACAGCGUAAUCCCCCCGGCGAGACCACAUUAAUGGGGGGGUUUGCGACCUCGAUGUUGGCUUAGGGCUUCCUA